rnacentral:rRNA from 1 species
UACGAAGGUCCCAAGCGUUAUCCGGAUUUAUUGGGUUUAAAGGGUGCGUAGGCGGCUUAUUAAGUCAGUGGUGAAAUCUCCGGGCUUAACCCGGAAACUGCCAUUGAUACUAUUUGUCUUGAAUACUGUGGAGGUCAGCGGAAUAUGUCAUGUAGCGGUGAAAUGCUUAGAUAUGACAUAGAACACCAAUUGCGAAGGCAGCUGGCUACACAAAUAUUGACACUGAGGCACGAAAGCGUGGGGAUCAAACAGG